GGUUUGGCCCCUCGGUGUCGUCGAUCAGCCGAUGAUACCAAACCACCCUGAGUUGCAUUUGUUAAGAGCAGAUGUGGUGAGCGUUAGGGAAAAGGCAGGGGUA
rnacentral:ncRNA from 1 species